rnacentral:snoRNA from 10 species
UGGACUAAUGACAAGAAUGUGUCAUGAACCAAGUAUGUGACUGUUCCUGUUCUAUAUAAAAUAAAGUCACUU